GGUCAACUAGGACUGCGGAAGGAUCAUUACCGAGUGCGGGUCUUUAUGGCCCAACCUCCCACCCGUGACUAUUGUACCUUGUUGCUUCGGCGGGCCCGCCAGCGUUGCUGGCCGCCGGGGGGCGACUCGCCCCCGGGCCCGUGCCCGCCGGAGACCCCAACAUGAACCCUGUUCUGAAAGCUUGCAGUCUGAGUGUGAUUCUUUGCAAUCAGUUAAAACUUUCAACAAUGGAUCUCUUGGUUCCGGCAUCGAUGAAGAACGCAGCGAAAUGCGAUAACUAAUGUGAAUUGCAGAAUUCAGUGAAUCAUCGAGUCUUUGAACGCACAUUGCGCCCCCUGGUAUUCCGGGGGGCAUGCCUGUCCGAGCGUCAUUGCUGCCCUCAAGCCCGGCUUGUGUGUUGGGCCCUCGUCCCCCGGCUCCCGGGGGACGGGCCCGAAAGGGCAGCGGCGGCACCGCGUCCGGUCCUCGAGCGUAUGGGGCUUCGUCUUCCGCUCCGUAGGCCCGGCCGGCGCCCGCCGACGCAUUUAUUUGCAACUUGUUUUUUUCCAGGUUGACCUCGGAUCAGGUAGGGAUACCCGCUGAACUUAAGCAUAUCAAUAAGCGGAGGAAAAGAAACCAACCGGGAUUGCCUCAGUAACGGCGAGUGAAGCGGCAAGAGCUCAAAUUUGAAAGCUGGCUCCUUCGGGGUCCGCAUUGUAAUUUGCAGAGGAUGCUUCGGGUGCAGCCCCCGUCUAAGUGCCCUGGAACGGGCCGUCAUAGAGGGUGAGAAUCCCGUAUGGGGCGGGGUGUCUGCGUCCGUGUGAAGCUCCUUCGACGAGUCGAGUUGUUUGGGAAUGCAGCUCUAAAUGGGUGGUAAAUUUCAUCUAAAGCUAAAUACUGGCCGGAGACCGAUAGCGCACAAGUAGAGUGAUCGAAAGAUGAAAAGCACUUUGAAAAGAGAGUUAAACAGCACGUGAAAUUGUUGAAAGGGAAGCGCUUGCAACCAGACUCGCUCGCGGGGUUCAGCCGGGCUUCGGCCCGGUGUACUUCCCCGCGGGCGGGCCAGCGUCGGUUUGGGCGGCCGGUCAAAGGCCUCCGGAAUGUAGCGCCCUUCGGGGCGCCUUAUAGCCGGGGGUGCAAUGCGGCCAGCCUGGACCGAGGAACGCGCUCGGCACGACGCGCAUAUGCUGGACC
rnacentral:rRNA from 1 species